ensembl:lncRNA
UCCCAGCAGGCUGCAGCAGCACUCGCUGUGUGUAGGGUGGGAGAGGAAUAAACAGGACGGACUGAUCAUCCCAACCUGCGAGGCCGGGCACACGGCUCACUCAGUGAAGAAGGGAAGGAGAGCGACGCGCCUCACCUCUAUCAGUGUGAGUUUGGGGACAUCAGAUCCUUUGCAGUUAACUUUUUUUUCCCCACUUCAAGAGCUGUUGUUGAGAAAGGUGAGCAUUUUGGUUCAAGCGAAAUUCUGGAAGAAGUUCAGCUUGCUGCAGCACCAUGUUUUUGCUGGGGGUGGGCAGAGCAGUGGCUGCGGGCUGGAGGAGACGUGGUGUCCCUGUCCCCAUCCCCGUCCCCAUCCCUGUCCCCGUCCCCAGUGUGCCAGGACACGGUGGCCUUCUGGAAGGCCCUCAGAGUGCUGCCCGGUGAGCGGUGAGGCUUUGCAGCGAGGAGUCCAGGAGCUCGAUCCGCUUCGCUUAGCCGGAGUGUUGGAAGCCUCUUCUAAACCCAGCCAAGCUCUCUGAUCCUCCACCCGUCGAUGAUGGUUUUGUGAAAAAGUG